rnacentral:misc_RNA from 1 species
GUAUAUAUUAUAUAGGUACAACAUUCUAUUAACAUACAUUGGGGUAAAAUGAAGCAACAUAGACCUUUUCAGGUCUACAAAAAGUGCACAGGUGGAGAUAUAAAGAUGACAAGGUGUGCACAUGCUCCCUGGAGAACCAGCAACAACCCAUCAGGUUUAUUUCAAUAAUGAUCCUUCCGCAGGUUCACCUACGGAAA